rnacentral:rRNA from 1 species
AUUGAACGCUGGCGGCAGGCUUAACACAUGCAAGUCGAGCGGAGCGAGGGUGCUUGCACCUUAGCUUAGCGGCGGACGGGUGAGUAAUGCUUAGGAAUCUGCCUAUUAGUGGGGGACAACAUUCCGAAAGGGAUGCUAAUACCGCAUACGCCCUACGGGGGAAAGCAGGGGAUCUUCGGACCUUGCGCUAAUAGAUGAGCCUAAGUCGGAUUAGCUAGUUGGUGGGGUAAAGGCCUACCAAGGCGACGAUCUGUAGCGGGUCUGAGAGGAUGAUCCGCCACACUGGGACUGAGACACGGCCCAGACUCCUACGGGAGUCAGCAGUGGGGAAUAUUGGACAAUGGGGGGAACCCUGAUCUAGCCGUGCCGCGUGUGUGAAGAAGGCCUUAUGGUUGUAAAGCACUUUAAGCGAGGAGGAGGCUCUUUUGGUUAAUACCCAAGAUGAGUGGACGUUACUCGCAGAAUAAGCACCGGCUAACUCUGUGCCAGCAGCCGCCGUAAUAC